rnacentral:lncRNA from 10 species
AAAUUUAGACCCAUCAGCUUGGAUGUGGACAAAGUUUAAAGGCAAACUAGAGUUACAAACUCAAAUAUCUAUGAAUGUCUAACAACUAGUAGAAAUGAGUGAGUCUGGCCAAGUGUGAGAAGACAUGAGCAGAAGCUAAAUGUUGAAUACUGCCAGCCUCUGAGUCCCACUGAUGUCAGGGAGGUUGGGAACUGCAGCAAACUGGACGCAGUCCUGGGGCAGCUGCUGCUCAGUAUUAGCCUAUUGUUGUGAUGGGGAAUGCCAAUCUGGUGUUGCCAGAUCUUCCAAUUUUUGUUCUAGAGUGGCCAGAAAACUGGAUUUUUAUCUGAAAAGUACUGAUUUUAAACAUUAAGGCUUUAAGUGGUCAGUCUGUGUUCCCUGUUUUAGAAUUCACUUCUCAAAUGGGUGUUUGGAUACCGCACAGCCACAGCCUGAAGCACUCAUGUGCACAGUCAGGUUACCUUAAACCAGUCUUGGACAAGCAGCAUGGAAGAACAAUCAGACAAAAAGGAUGGUUGCUUUUUUUUAAUGUUGUUUUUUCGUCUCUUCUACUUAAGAAAAUGUCUCAGUGUAUUGUAUAAAGCCUCUUGAGAUGCAUAGAUAAAUUAUAGGAAGGCUCAGCUCCAAACAUGUAACAAAGACAGGUAAUUUCUGUAUUCAUAAGCCGUCUAGAAUCAGCACCUCUCUGGUAUUGUUUUCUCCUGUUACCUUGGUUUCCAUUCUGAGAAUUAGCAGCAUUCAACACCUCCCUCGUAUUCAUCUUCAAAGAGGAGGGGAAUCACACUCCUCUGCAAGAGAAGAAGAGCUUGUACAAUGCACUACAAAAUUCAGUCCACCCCUUGGCCUCCAGGAGAAGAUUAGAAAUGUUGACUCCUUAAGCUUGACCACCCUUCAGGCUUUUUUAGUUCAGUCUCCUUAUAUAUUAGAUAAACAGAAUUGAGGGGUGAGACAUUUUAGUACGUAGAUUAUUGGAUGUCAAUGCCCAGACUCAUCUGUAAUCAAAUUAACACUGCCAAGGCUUCUGAAAUCAUAUGCUCCUAGAUAGAGUCGCAUUUGGACUAGGACUCAAGUUUUCUGACUGGUGCUUUUUCUGUUGUAUUGGUAGAAUGCCCAGGUGAGGCUGCUCAGCCUAGCCUAAGCACUGGAUCCAUGUAAGUUGAAAAUAACAGAACAACCAAACUCAAAAAGAGUUAAAAAAUAAAAGGGGUUUAUUGACUUCCCAAUCUAAAAUGUGCAGCAGUAGGAUGGGCUUCAGGAAGGAUUUAGUCAAGUCCUAGCUUCAUUUCCUCUACCACCAUCAUAACCAAUGCUUAAAUUGUGUUUAUAUGGGACAGGUUCUAUUCUAAGCACACCCUCAUGAGGUAGAUAUAAGUAACUGCAUUUUCAUACAUGAGAAAACUGAGGCACUGGGUUUAAAUACCUGUCCCAGGUUUGCAUUUUAGAGUCAGGAUACAAACUCAGACUGCUGACUCCAGAGUCCUUGCUCUUAACCUCUGUACAGAUUCUGAUUAAAUGGACUAGGAAAUGGCUUAGGGAUCUGUGACUAAAAAAUACCUCCCAAAGAUUGCAAUGCACAUCCAGACUUAGAAAAACAAAUCUGCUAUGCAGUUGGCUAAGGGUACCAUCCGUGUUUAAAAAAAAAAAUUCCCUAGGUUCACUGCAAAGAACACUAUGGUGGAAUUUAGUCCCAAAUUCUUCUCUGCAAUGCUUACAUCCCAAUGGAGAAGAGAAGUAAACGCUAUCUACUGAUGAAAGAAAAUUCGGGAUGGAACUGCUGAGCACUGCUGAACACAAAAGCCUGCCACUGCAGGGCCCCUUAGCCUGAAGAACCCAAAUAUUACAGUCACAGUAUGUCUUCAGGGUGUUUAUUACCUAGGUAUUAUAAUUCUUGUGUGAUGGCAGUCAGAGACUGAUUAUAAUCAGGGGAGAGAGAAGAACUUCCUGGGGACACAGUGCUUCACUAUAGAUUCCCUGCCUCUAAUUCUCAAUACAGAAAUCUUUGCAAGAGUACUUUCAUGGAUGUCAAUGACAACAAUUAAGCUUGAAGAGCAUGAGAAGACAUUUUAAUCAGAAGCUAAUUAAGAACAAUGGGGGCAUAUGUAUCACUGAUUGUGUCUCAAGUACUCUGACUGAUCUGGAAGAUUAUUCCAUUAAUAUAUGGAUGUAAACAGACACCAACAUUUUCUCAGGAUGAGGCAACUUCACUUUGAAGGUUCCACCUCCAAAUCUGGCAUUUAUUUAUUAGAUGACAAAUAAAAAUGAGCAACAUUUACCUGCCUAGGGAAGACAUUUGGUGCUGGUUUCUUGUCUUUGGGUAGGACAAGCAUCAAGUGUAAGAAAUAAGGUGAUAGGAGUCAAUAAACCAGAAUGUUUUUC